CAGGCUGGUCUCUAAACUCCUGACCUCCAGUGAUCCGCCUGCCUCAGCCUCCCAAAGUGCUGGGAUUACAGGCAUGAGCCAUUGCGCCCGGCUCUAUUUUAGUCCUUCAAGAAAGGGAAGGAAAAUAACUUUGAGACAGUUGCAUGUCAAGGAAAUAAGGGACCCCCCACCACACCCCAACCCCCUCAGUGCCCUGGGGUUUGAAGCAAAUGCUCAGAGGGCCUGGUAGGCGGAUGGGCGUCUCCGGACGAUGCAGAAGGCAAUAAGCACCAGGGCAAGGAGGCCAAGAAGGAUCAGGCCAAUGAUGAGAGGCAGCAAGAUGGACCGGUCACUGGGGCAGGAGAAACCUGGCGGAAGGAUAGAGCAGCAAAGAUGGAUUCGACACCGCCUGGACGUGUGCCAAGGAUGAAGGAAUCAAGAGCGAUAUCCUAGGGACAGGAGGAUUCCCCUGGCUGGAGGGUGGAGGGAUGAAAGAAAACUGUAAAGGGCUUUGGGGUACUGUCAUGAAUCCUGGCUGGUCCCCUCCCCAGUCCCUUGUGUCCAGUUCCCCAGCUUCCCUCUCGGACGCCCUUAUUCUUGAGGCUUCCCUACUUUCCCUCCUUCCUGCCCUCUGCUCCUAUCUGGGGGAUUUGUUUGGGUGAAGACAUGGUGUUGGCAGUGUCUGAGCCAGGGAUGGAAAGCUGACCCCUUUAGUCUCAAGGGCCUGGCUGGAAGGUCUGAGCUAAACAUAUCCACUAAUUUGAGGCCCCUUAAGGAAGACCACCACUUAAGUAUCAACAAAGGAUCCUUUAUUGACCAGAGCAGGACCGUGGCACUUACAUAUAUAUAUAUAUAUAUAUAUAUAUAAAUAUAUAUAUAUAUAAAUAAAAGUUUGAAGAUCUGGCAGGCAGUGAUGCUAUUGCCCGCCCACCACCCCCAGCACUGAUUUCCUGCUCCCUGCACGGGGAAAGGGGAGGAUGACUGCUCCACCCAGGCCACGGGGCCACACUCCCCUGCAAACAGAGGAAGAAAGGGGCUUUUCUGUAGCCACCCCCUGCCCAUCAAAAAUCAACAAGUAUUCUCUCAAA